rnacentral:lncRNA from 1 species
UUCAAAAUGGAACUCUCCAAAAUAUCAACAAUAUAUGCUUCAUUCUUAUGAAUCAUCUUCGUUAAUUUGUGAAUAUAUCUACUGUUGAAAUGCGAGCAGUUGAGAGAUACAAUCAAGUCAAGAAGCGAAAAAACGUCAAAACUAUGUAACAUAAAAUUCGCAUUUAUGACUUAUUUUCGCUUCUUUUUAUUUUUCAUAUUUUUCAUUAGUUAUUAAGAGGCUUAUAAAUGUUUGUUUAUGUAAAUUAAUGUCCUUUUUUGCCUUUUUCGUACCGAAAUACAAAAAUAUACGUACAUUCAUUUAUCUUAUUGAUUGUUAGAAAU